GAUGCGAUGCCAGAGGAGAGAAUACACAGAGAAUACACAAACGCAUGGGGAGAUGCAUUCCUUGAGUCCCACCGCAACUAGUUGGGGACAGCCCAACGCCCUCUAUGUGCUUCAGAACCACACGAUGAUUGCUGCUCUGGGACCCAGCCCUGCUUUCUAGAUCGUUAGCAGCCUGGCCAAGAAGAGACACCUGCUGAGACCGAGGCUCUUAUUUCUGUGCAAGGACACAGCAAAAGCCCAAACUGGCUUCACCCGGUGCUCUGUCAACCUGCGGGUGAGUGUCUGACUCAAGGCUCCUAAACCGGGUCGUUCGUGAUGAUGGAUUGUCUGAGGCUGGGUCCAGCCACUCUCACAUAGAAAGCCACAGGGAGAUUCUACCUGACCAGAGACCAAUGAGCACUGAGUCAGGUCUCCGAGCUGCUGAUAAACCCAAGUAUGGGGCAUCUUUUUUCUUUUUCUCCCAGUCCCAACCGUGACUGAGCUACCAGCCUUGCUCUAUGCACCAGAAGCCCUUUCUUUCAGGUUUGUUUUCUUAGAGAAGCACAAGCCUCUCUGAGACACGUGACGGGCACCUGUUAUUCCAACCACCGAGCAUCCCCUCUCUUCCCUUCCUGGUUAAUAGUGAAUUUCCACAGAGAGCCAUCAGCCAAACCCACUGGCUCAUCCAAACCCCACAGUGUCAGCCAUCAGUUCAGGGGGAGGAAUGUGUCCCAACAGGUCCAAUCAGCGUGACUCUUGGGAUUUCUGGAAAAAGUGACUGGGCAAAGACAGUUUCUCUUAUUGUUAAACUUGAACCUGGAAGGAUGCUCAGCCAGGAUUUCUGGCAGCCAUUGGCCACCAUGCACCAUCUUGAGCGCCAAAGGCGAAGCGGAAAGAUAGUUACCAAGUCCUGAUACGCUUGGUGAGCAUCUUGUUCCGGUCACACCUGAAGCCAUCGCACCCUCGUUGCCACUGCAUGUCCCAAUUAAUCACCUCAUUUUGCUUAAGCCCGUUUGAAUGAGCUUUUCGGUCACUGGCAAACAAUGAUUCCUGACAUCACGUUGGCUAGGAAAAAAGGUGGGAGAGUAACGGCAUUCAUUCUGAGCUUGGAUUACAAAACUACGCUGUCCCUCCGCUUGUCACCCUUCCUGUCUCUGACCUGCACUUUUUCCCCAGGAUCAGCUGCCUCUCCCCACACAGCUCCCUCCUCCCUGCGUGAGCCCUUCAUCCUUCCUUUGUUUCUGUUUUUCCUUUAAUAUGUCACCGAGACUGGCUCCCGCUAAGGGACUCUGACAGCCACCGCUGCCAUGACCCAGACGAAAGACAGGACAAGUUGCCACCAACAAUAAUCGCUUGUCGCUAUGCUGUUGCAGCAAGGAGAAAACACAAACAGGUCCUGUUUGUUAAGCUUUCGUCUCUGGCUGUCACACUCAGAGGGCCACUGCCGGACUGAAGGAGGCAGCUUUGUUUGUGGAAAAAGGAGAAUUUCAGGCUUUCCCAUAACCCUUGUGAGGGGCAGGCCCCGGCCGUAAACAUUAGAGUAGAAAUGUCUUCAAAAUGCCCCUGGUUCUCUAACAAAUGUCUACAAAGAGCUCUGAGAGCUGAACCUCGGGAGGUAAUUACCUCUCCCUUUGGGGGUCUGUCUGUUGGCGCGACUGAAGGCACAGAGGGCUCAGCCUUGGCCCCUUCCUCUUACUCAAGAUAUGGGGUACCUGCGAGGCUCCAUUUUCUCGUUCGUGAAGUGAAGGGUAUUUGUUCCCUCCUUGAAGGAGCUUGUUGUGAUUGAGAUAAUGCAUGUGUGGCUCUCGCACAUCAAGAGCUUGAUUCAUGAGAGCUCGGAUUACGGGGGUUGUUGUCCUCGCGAAAGAAUCAACCGGGCUGGCGACAAGGAAACCCACAGCACUACCACCCGCCAGCGCAGCAUUAAUGCAAACGCGAAGAGCCCUCCUGUGGCUCCUCCCCACGUGUUUCCUAAAUGUCCCAGUAAGGACACACGACUCCGCAGCCGCUCUGACUGUGUGCCGGGCACCGAGCUGACAGCAGGUGGACAAGCCGUCCGGGGCUCACGCUGAGAGCCUAGCACCCCCAAGCCCCGCAGGGCUGGGCAAACGAGGAUGGCUCGCCAGCUAAGCAGAGAGUUUUGCAGCCGUUUAAUCUGCAAAGUGACCUUUCAGGAGAAGUGUUUCAGUUCCCAUUUUACAGGAUUUAACCCUCUUUGGGCAAACACUGGACCAAAGGGAGCCAGAGAACUGAUGAUGCCAAUUCUUGCUGGCCCCCAGGACUUUGAUCCACCAGGACCCCAGGAUUUCGACCCUCCAGAUCCCUGGGACUUUGAUCCAUCAGGACCUGGACUCUGUCAACUUACUGGAUGACUUGUGCCCCAAUUCUAGACUUCCCUUGCCAAGCCCGUCACGAACGUGCAUGCAUCUUUAGCUUAAAACUUGCCCAAUUUUGUUGUUCGGGGGGGAGGGCACCGUUUGGGGAAAAAUCCCCAGUAGACUCCCUAUUUGUUGCACGCAAACCACUUCCUGAUCCCAGGGUCUGGCUUGGUUGUGUCUUUUGGCCCCACUUCUGCCAAGAGACGAACCCACUUUCAGGUGGCACCUUCUCAUUUUCACUCAGCCUUUAUUUCAUUGCCAAAUUCUCACUUGUUAAGAGAUGCUCUUCCAGACCUCCUUGGUUAGGUCAACGUCCUCCCUCCUAAGGCUCUUUCUUGUAUUUUCAUAGCACGUCAUGUGGCUGUUAAUUGACAUUUAUUUAUAGGCUGUUUUGAGUGAGUGCAUGAGACUGAGUGUGUGAGUGUGUGUGUGUGUUGAGUGUGCGUCUGUCCCCCACUGGAACUUACACUGACUGCAGACAGGCAGGCACCACGUGUGAUAUUUUAUUUCAUCUGUUCUACUUCGUCUUACUAAUCACUGUAUCCCCAGCACACAGAGGGGUCUGAUUCAAUUUUUGCUUUUGUUUUGGUUGACUGGUUUGUUUUGAAUGAGGCGAGGAGUCUUGCCUGGGGUGGGUCAACGUGAAUUAGGUUCUCAAGUCACACAGCACCAAGGAAGACACUUAACUCAGGUUCCCUCCCCACCUCCAACUUCCCUAUGCCAGGAAGCCUAGCAGGCUGCAUGGCCUUUGGGCAGAAAGUUCCGGCACCUUAUGCAUCAUGCUCACGAAUCUCGGGCAGCCACUGGGUGUUGGUUCCUACCACCGUUUCCACGUCGUUCCUGAAAGUCGUUGCAUCAUCCUCAGAAGGUUUUCUGGCUCAAAGUGGUGGUUAAGAAGCAAAACUAUUCCCGGGGCUGGAACCAGCCCCUCUGAGCUGCUGGCCAGAACACCAAGGUUUGUACCAGGCUAGUUAAAGGCAACAGACAGACCUUCUUCACGUGUAGCUGAUCCUGGAGUAUGGAGCUUGAACAGAAUCCACUGUCGUCUGUCUUUCAUUUUUGUUUCUGUUGUUGUAUGCUUGUUUUCAUCUAAACGUUUAAAACUUCUACUUUCGCCAAAAAGCAACAUGACGCCCGUGUUUAAAGCGAAGAGGAAUAAAAUCUCAGAUUCUCAAGGGUUCUGUACAAAUGCCAGUUUAUAAGGCAUGUACGUGUCUCUGGGAAAGUCACUUUAUCUCA